rnacentral:lncRNA from 1 species
UGGGCUUAUCUAUUCAGUUUUGUUUUACUCCAUCUAAAAUUAAUUUUCUUUUCACUAUUUCACCUCCUUCUGUGGAUCAUGACAUUAUUUUUGUGGGAAAACCAAUUUUCGUUGGAUACAUUCAAACCACAAAUUAAAAUGUAUAACGAAUUACAUUUUCAUACAGGCUUAACUUCCGCAAUACUAGGAGCAUAUAUAACCUGUGGGGUCCUGUAUUUUAUUAUUUUUCUCUUUGUUAUUUUUUUGCUCUCCUUCCAUCAUUAAUACUUGAUUGCUUUUCUAUAGAAUCAAGAGUAGCAAUGUAAUUAUUAACCAGAGAUGCUUGUAUUAGUAACAUCAUCAAGUAUGUUCUUAUGCAUGGUAAAUUGAAAAUACAUUAACCUUAGGGUAUGGAGAGCUAAAAG